GUGCUCCCUUCGGCAGCACAUAAGCUGAAAUUGAAAUGAUGCCGAGAUUAGCAUGGCCUCUGUGACAGAAUGACAUACAAAUUCACGACGGGUUCUGUGUUUUG
ensembl:snRNA U6 U6 spliceosomal RNA